ACGGAAGGCAGCAGUGGGGGAUAUUGCACAAUGGGGGGAACCCUGAUGCAGCGACGCCGCGUGGGUGAAGAAGUAUUUCGGUAUGUAAAGCCCUAUCAGCAGGGAAGAAGAAGGACGGUACCUGCAGAAGAAGCCCCGGCUAACUACGUGCCAGCAGCCGCGGUAAUACGUAGGGGGCGAGCGUUAUCCGGAUUUACUGGGUGUAAAGGGAGCGUAGACGGUAGUGCAAGUCUGAGGUGAAAAUACGGGGCUUAACCCCGUAACUGCCUUGGAAACUGUAUAACUUGAGUACCGGAGGGGCAGGCGGAAUUCCUGGUGUAGCGGUGAAAUGCGUAGAUAUCAGGAAGAACACCGGUGGCGAAGGCGGCCUGCUGGACGGUAACUGACGUUGAGGCUCGAAAGCGUGGGGAGCAAACAGGAUUAGAUACCCUGGUA
rnacentral:rRNA from 1 species